GGCCUUACCUGGCAGGGGAGAUACCAUAAUCAUGAAGGUGUUUUUCCCAGAGUGAGGCUCAUCCAUUGCACUCCAGGUGUGCUGACUUCUGCGAUUUCCCCAAAUGCGAGAAACUUGACUGUAUAAUUUGUGGUUGCCGUGGCCCAGCAGGUAUUCUACUUCUCAUCU